rnacentral:rRNA from 1 species
UGGGGAAUAUUGGACAAUGGGCGCAAGCCUGAUCCAGCCAUGCCGCGUGGAUGAAGAAGGCCCUAGGGUUGUAAAGUCCUUUCGGUGGUGAAGAUAAUGACGGUAACCACAGAAGAAGCCCCGGCUAAUUUCGUGCCAGCAGCCGCGGUAAUACGAAAGGGGCUAGCGUUGUUCGGAAUUACUGGGCGUAAAGCGCACGUAGGCGGCCUUGUAAGAUGGGGGUGAAAUCCCUGGGCUCAACCCAGGAACUGCCUUCAUGACUGCAAAGCUCGAGGAUGUGAGAGGUUGGCGGAAUUCCGAGUGUAGAGGUGAAAUUCGUAGAUAUUCGGAAGAACACCAGUGGCGAAGGCGGCCAACUGGCACAUUUCUGACGCUGAGGUGUGAAAGCGUGGGGAGCAAACAGGAUUAGAUACCCUCGUAGUCCCUGAGCGGGCUGGCAAGGCGCAU